rnacentral:rRNA from 1 species
UACAGAGGGUGCGAGCGUUAAUCGGAAUUACUGGGCGUAAAGCGCGCGUAGGCGGCUUUGCAAGUCGGGUGUGAAAUCCCCAGGCUUAACCUGGGAACUGCAUUCGAGACUGCAUUGCUAGAGUAUGGGAGAGGGAAGUGGAAUUUCCGGUGUAGCGGUGAAAUGCGCAGAUAUCAGGAGGAACACCGGUGGCGAAGGCGGUUCUCUGGGCCUUACCUGACGCUGAGGAGCGAAAGCAUGGGGAGCAAACAGG